GUCCUUGUGGCCUAAUGGAUAAGGCGUCGGCCUCCGGAAUAUAUUGGCGGGCGAGCCGAAGAUUGUGGGUUCGAGUCCCAUCAAGGACG